GACGAACCGUGCGAACGUUAUUCGGAAUCACUGGGCUUAAAGCGCGAUGUAGGCGGCCCGGCACGUCCGUCGCUGAAAUCCCCCGGCUCAACCGGGAAGGGCGGGGAGUACGGCCGGGCUGGAGGGGGUGAGGGGCGCCGGGAACUCACGGUGGAGCGGUGGAAAUGCGUUGAGAUCGUGAGGAACGCCCGUGGCGAAAGCGGGC
rnacentral:rRNA from 1 species